rnacentral:rRNA from 1 species
AACGAACGCUGGCGGCAGGCUUAACACAUGCAAGUCGAGCGCCCCGCAAGGGGAGCGGCAGACGGGUGAGUAACGCGUGGGAAUCUACCCAUCUCUACGGAAUAACGCAUGGAAACGUGUGCUAAUACCGUAUACGUCCUUCGGGAGAAAGAUUUAUCGGAGAUGGAUGAGCCCGCGUUGGAUUAGCUAGUUGGUGGGGUAAAGGCCUGCCAAGGCGACGCUCCAUAGCUGGUCUGAGAGGAUGAUCAGCCACGCUGGGACUGGGACACGGCCCAGACUGCUACGGGAGGCAGCAGGGGGGAAUAUUGGACAAUGGGCGCAAGCCUGAUCCAGCCAUGCAGCGUGAGUGAUGAAGGCCCUAGGGUUGUAAAGCUCUUUCACCGGUGAAGAUAACGACGGUAACCGGAGAAGAAGCCCCGGCUAACUUCGUGCCAGCCGCCGCCGUAAUAC